rnacentral:rRNA from 1 species
GUGGGGAAUAUUGGACAAUGGGCGCAAGCCUGAUCCAGCCAUGCCGCGUGAGUGAUGAAGGCCUUAGGGUUGUAAAGCUCUUUUGUCCGGGAAGAUAAUGACUAUACCGGAAGAAUAAGCCCCGGCUAACUUCGUGCCAGCAGCCGCGGUAAUACGAAGGGGGUUAGCGUUGUUCGGAAUAACUGGGCGUAAAGCGCACGUAGGCGGACCAUUAAGUCAAGGGUGAAAGCCUGGAGCUCAACUCCAGAACUGCCUUUGAUACUGAUGGUCUCGAGUAUGGAAGAGGUUGGUGGAACUGCGAGUGUAGAGGUGAAAUUCGUAGAUAUUCGCAAGAACACCGGUGGCGAAGGCGGCCAACUGGUCCAAUACUGACGCUUAGGUGCGAAAGCGUGGGGAGCAAACAGGAUUAGAUACCCGGGUAGUCC